rnacentral:rRNA from 1 species
GACGAACGCUGGCGGCGUGCUUAACACAUGCAAGUCGAACGGAAAGGCCCUGCGUUUGUGGGGUGCUCGAGGGGCGAACGGGUGAGUAAGACGUGAGUAACCUGCCCUUGACUUUGGGAUAACUUCAGGAAACUGGGGCUAAGACCGGAUCGGAGCUCCUGCGGCAUGGUGGGGGAGGGAAAGUUUCGGCGGUCGGUGAUGGAGUCGUGGCUUAUCAGCUUGUGGGUGGGGUGGUGGGUUACCAAGGCGUUGACGGGAAGCCGGCCUGUGAGGGUGACCGGCCGCCUUGGGUCUGAGGUGCGGCACAGACGCCGACGGGUGGCCGAAGUGGGGAAUCUUGCUCCAUGGGCGGAGGCCUGAUGCAGCAACGCUGCGUGCGGGAUAGCGGCCUUCGGGUUGAAAACCGUUUUCGCCUGUGGCGAAGCGUGAGUGACCGUGAUGAGUAAAGAAGCACCGGCUAACUACGUGC